AAGAGGUUAGUUAAAUUAUAACCUUAGUUUGUCAUACUAAAAUAAUCCCUUAAGGAUAUCUCUUA
rnacentral:tRNA from 3 species